rfam:Stegodyphus mimosarum contig11911, whole genome shotgun sequence.
ACCCUCGUGGUGUAACGGUAGCCCACUCGACGCGUAUUCGAGAGGUCCAGGUUCGAAUCCUGGUGAGGGCA